UAACGAGACAGUCCUCUUCGAGGUCUGUCAUCGGAAUGGGUACAAUUUAAAUCCUUUAACGAGGAUCAAUUGGAGGGCAAGUCUGGUGCCAGCAGCCGCGGUAAUUCCAGCUCCAAUAGCGUAUAUUAAAGUUGUUGCGGUUAAAACGCUCGUAGUUGGCUUUGCGGCCACAGAGAACGGUCCCCCGAAAGGGUGGUCACUGUUACUCCAAGCCUAUAUAUCUAGUUCGCUUUACGGUGCUCUUAACCGAGUGCCUAAAGUGACUGGAACGUUUACUUUGAAAAAAUUAGAGUGCUUAAAGCAGGCGAAAUCGUCUGAAUAAGGUGCAUGGAAUAAUGGAAUAGGAUCUCGGUUCUAUUUUAUUGGUUUUCGGAGCCAGAGAUAAUGAUUAAGAGGAACAGACGGGGGCAUUCGUAUUCCGGCGCUAUAGGUGAAAUUCUUGGACC
rnacentral:rRNA from 1 species